GAACUUUUAAGUUUGCAAAAUCACUUGAGAUGAAUAAAGUUUUGGCUUUGAGUUUGACAUAUAUGCUAAUUGCUUCAAAAUUUUGCUCACCUUCAGCACUUACAAUGCAGUUUUCAUCUGUUAACAGGGAGUGUGAAGUCUCUCAUAAGCCUGCCCUGCUUCAUGUCUCAUGCUAGCAUACCAGCUGAAAAAGUUUUAUUGCAGAAAUUGGGCUAAACCUUAUAUUAAAGAUGCUAAAGAAGUUUCCAGGUGCAUUUUUAUUUUAUUGUUUUUCUUUAUGAUUUUGUUGUAUAAGAAGUCAAAGUGUGAUUCUGUUUUUAUUCUUUAAUUUUUUUGGGGAUAUAUUGACAGAAUUUAGAGUUCUGGAAUCAAUUCUUCAUCACAUACUUUUUGAUCAUUGAGAAUGAUAUAUUUGUUAUCUUGAUACAUUUCACAAGCCUUAUUUUAAGUUGCAUGUUUUGUUGCUUUAGUCGUUGUUUUGCAUGGUAGUACAUCUUGCUAUACCCUACUGUUUUGUCAAGUUUUGGAGUUAUUACAAAUUUAAUUUAAACUUUAUAUGCUUAGAGGUGGAAACUAGCUUAAGUCUUAUGUUCUUAAUAAUAAAAGGACUUUUUUUUUUACAAUGUGCAGGUAUAUUGAGAUGAUUUCUUUGGAGAAAUUCUUGACAACAUUUGUAGUUGAGGCCUUUAGAAUGGAAUAAUGUAUUUCACUAAUUUUUGUACACAUUUCUUGUUUUGUAUUUAGUGAUAAAGGAAUCUGAAUUGGGCAUAAAUUAUGUUGUAAUAUGAUUUCUUAAGCCUAGACUAGUAGACUAAAUAUUGUAAUUACAUUUGAGUAAUUAAUAAAAAUCUAUUUAUGUUA